rnacentral:telomerase_RNA from 1 species
AAAGGAUGAAUCAUUAGUGCUGCAUAUAUAACGGAUCGGCCACUUGUUCUCGAUUUUCUUGAUUGCGAUCGAGCUUAGAGUUCAAGUAUACCCCAUAACCCCAAAGAAUUUAAAGUUUUCUUUGCCGUUUGGAUUUUCUUAGAUAAUUGGAAACGGCAGAUGUCGAUGCCGGGAAUAUGCAGCUUUAUUUUU